rnacentral:rRNA from 1 species
UACGUAGGGUGCAAGCGUUAAUCGGAAUUACUGGGCGUAAAGCGUGCGCAGGCGGUGAUGUAAGACAGGUGUGAAAUCCCCGGGCUUAACCUGGGAACUGCAUUUGUGACUGCAUCGCUGGAGUGCGGCAGAGGGGAUGGAAUUCCGCGUGUAGCAGUGAAAUGCGUAGAUAUGCGGAGGAACACCGAUGGCGAAGGCAGCCCCCUGGGUCAAGAUUGACGCUCAUGCACGAAAGCGUGGGGAGCAAACAGG